GAUGAACGCUAGCGGCAGGCCUAACACAUGCAAGUCGAGGGAGAGGUUACCUUCGGGUAACCAAAACCGGCGCACGGGUGCGUAACGCGUAUACAAUCUGCCUUUCACAUAGGGAUAGCCCGAAGAAAUUUGGAUUAAUACCUAAUGGUAUAUAAGAGCGGCAUCGUUUUUAUAUUAAAGCUACGGUGGUGAAAGAUGAGUAUGCGCUCUAUUAGCUAGUUGGAGAGGUAACGGCUCCCCAAGGCGACGAUAGAUAGGGGUUCUGAGAGGGAUGUCCCCCACACUGGUACUGAGAUACGGACCAGACUCCUACGGGAGGCAGCAGUGAGGAAUAUUGGACAAUGGUCGGAAGACUGAUCCAGCCAUGCCGCGUGCAGGAUGAAGGUCCUAUGGAUUGUAAACUGCUUUUGUAAGGGAAGAAUAAGGAGUACGUGUACUUUGAUGACGGUACCUUACGAAUAAGCAUCGGCUAACUCCGUG
rnacentral:rRNA from 1 species